CGUUCCAGAGAAUGGGCGGACCUUUGGAGCGCUUGGCUGGCGAUGUCCCCCCCGAUGUCGACGCUCCUCUCCUCGAGAAAGGUCGGGAAAAGGAUGGAAACUUUUUGAAUUUUCCAAUGAAUGAUAAAAUGUGCCUCGGAGAGCAUUCCGAGACUUAAAAUGUUUUCAGCGAGAGGAUACUAUUCCGCGAAAUAACGCUGGCCAUUGCGUUUGUAAGUCAUCACAAUUUCCGAGAAGAGAGAAGGGCUUUCGCGGAGGAAUUUCUAUUCCUGUGAAAGGUAAUGCUUCAAUCGUGACGAUACCACGUAUCAGAAAUCAUUCGCUUGGCAAACGGACUGCAACAACUCGUUCUUUGUCACCGUCCGUCAUAUCGCUCCGUAUCCAUUUUAGGAGAAACUCGUGUCUCUCUUUGACAUUCUUUCGAGAAGAAGGCAUCUACAUGCCUUCGAAAUGAUUGUUCAAGGAUAUUACAUUUACAAGGCGCCUGUGUUCUGAGAAUUUUUUGUAUCCCGAUGCUGCGAAAAUGACACAUCAAAAUGACCAAAGUGCGCAAUCAUUGAUCGUUCGAAGAUUCAUGCAGUGAGUUCAUCAGCACUAAAUUUUUUGCUCUGAAGAUUCUAUUCAUCCGGGCCUGUAAAGAGAACUGGCAACGAUGGAACGUCACGUAUACAAUCGAAAAAUUGUGGGCUGGAUCUUAUCAACGUUGAUUACACAAUUCCGAUUAUUUACUCGGUUAUCGUCGUCUAGAAUCUUCAGUAAAUACGGACCCACCCAAUAACAAGAGAUAAGAGACGCCAUCGUACAUGAAAGGAUGCCGAUAAAACAGAAGGAGAGGCGCGGGGCGAGGGCACAGGAUAUAGUAAACAGAUGCCGAUCAAAACUCGAAACGCUAUCAGUCAGUGAUAUCGUGGUCAAUCCCCCUUAUCAUCGCACUUAUAUGCCACUUGAAUAUUUUAGCACGUAUUCGCGCUGGGUGCGUCCUACUUACAUAAAAGCAAGCGAGUUUCCAAGCGAGCAAUGAAAAAAAAACACACACACAAGCUUGGCGUGAGAAAGGAAGGAAUGCGGGACUUUCUAAAUUCCCCCUGGACUUGAAGAAGUGCCCGCGAUACAUGCGAGUGCAAUGAAAAUUAACGAAGAAAAAGACGUACCCGAAGAUCGAGUCGGCCUGUGUUCGCUGCGCACCACUUUUGUGAACGGCUUUGUCCUCUGGCACGACCUCUCUUUCCCCUUACGCGAGUAUGUCGUGGAAGUACUUUCAGCACCCGAUAAUGACCCGGAUGUAUUUUCGUCUUAUCGAGCAAUUGAUUGCGCGACUCGCGAAAAAUUGCGCGACACGCGAUGCCCUGUCGCGCGAAUAUCCGAACUGUCUCUACAAACUGUCUUGCGAUGUAGAGCAAGAAAAUACGAUAUUAUAACAGCGCAAGGCGGCGGGCGUUCAAUACGUUCGAGUCUGAUGUGACUCGCAGCUGCUAGCACGUCGCGGGGAAAGCGACAAAGCGAGACGUCCUAUAGCGGUCGUUUGUACAGUUGGCACGGAAGUAUAGUAUGAGACGUCAGUGACGGCGUUGACGACUCACGAUCCCUGUUCUUUGGUAGCAGUUAACAGAAUGAAACUCGUCGACGCAAGGCCUGCAGCCAUACUUUAACGACCUCCGUAAUCUACCAUCUCCCCACCGAGUCUUUUGAAACAUGACGUAAACUCUUCUGGGGAAGCGAAAUCCAAUCCUCAGUCGCCGCAUUCCGCAGAAUUGUUUUCACACGUUCUUGUUAUUUAUUGUUGCGUAAACAUGCGUAUGAUAAACAUUUUAUUUUAUUUAUUAUGCCGAUAUCGCAAAGUCUCUCAAAUCUAUUAUAUAGGACGAAUUUGCAGAUUUUUAUUCUCGGAGUCUUAAAUUUGACGAAUUUAUAUAUUCUAAAAGUAGACGAAUCUGGUAAUUUUAUGCAUAUUGCCAGAAUUGAUUCGCAUCUGAAUAAACAUAUGAAUAAAUAUGUAUACCAGACAUUUAAAUAAGAAACAAUAUCGCUCUUGCAGAAUAGACGCUCAUAUUUCUUCAAAGUCUGAGAUAAGAGAUAAGAGAGAAACGUACAGAUGAAAAAAGAGCCAGUAUCAAUUAAUAGAACAAUUAAUUUCAACAAAGAUAUAAUUGCCUGCAGUGAAAAAUUUCCAAUUCCAUUCUAUCGGUCCAUUUCUAAUCUAAUCUUUUCUAUCGCGUGUCAAACGAAAAAAAAAGGAUCAAUAGUCGAGAAAGGGAGACCUUGGCUCCUCGAGCCACCCAGAUUAUACGGCACUAUCAGUAGCUGCGCACUGGAGCUACAUGUAUGUAUAUGGCAUGUGUGGCGAUGCCAGCGAUGGCGGCGGGAAGGGAAGGUCGCGGAUAGAAAGGUCGCCAUCGCUGUCGCCUCCCUCUGCCGCUGAGCUCACUCGUAACGCGAUAUUCGCCUCCGCUCGCCGUUGAAAAAUUCCGCGCAGCGUCACGAUAACGCGGCCGUUGUUCUUUGUUCGCAGAUUACGCCCUGGGAUCUAAGUCGAGAAUAUAAUCCCGGCGUCUUUUCGUCCUUGAACGAGGGUCGAUCUCCCGGCCGCACCCCCGUCGCGUUGACCCUAGCGGUUCAUUCUUUCAAGCCCUACAUUCUCCGGAAACGGAAGGUUAUAUCCGGCCCUAAAGUAUCAUCGAUAAGACUCUAGCUGAGACGGACGAGUCAGAUAGACCUCUUCUGGGGAGCACAAUGGAAGUUGUCCGUGUAAAAAAAGGCUGUGUUCUUGCGUUCAGGGUGGUCGAGAUUUAAAUAAGAUUUCGACACGCGUGUCGUCUGGAAAUGCCAUCACGUUUUCCGUUUUCCGAAAAUAUUCGCGCGAAAUAUUUGUGCUCUUUCAGGGAAGCUUGAGUAAUGUGAUGAAUAAUCUCUGCUUAAGCGCGCACGAUCGAUCGGUUACACGUUUCGCGACGAGAAUGGUUGAAAGUAUCGUGCCUUAUCUUAUCGCGCGAAAAAUUAUAUAUGAUGUUCCCGAAAUUUAUCUCAUCGUUUCGAGUGUAUCGAUAAGAUUUUGUGGAUUUAAAUAACACUCGACGACGAGUGUGAUCACGAAUUCUCGGAAGUCUUCACGCAGCUAUAAAUAUUUUUGCCAUAAUUUUUCUACCGUAAAUAAAUGCUUGUAAGCCAAGAGUCCAAACUCUA